rnacentral:rRNA from 1 species
CCUACGGGAGGCAGCAGUAGGGAAUAUUGGACAAUGGGGGAAACCCUGAUCCAGCAAUGCAGCGUGAGUGACGAAGGCCUUAGGGUUGUAAAACUCUUUCAUCGGUGAGGAUAAUGACAGUAGCCGAAGAAGAAGGACCGGCUAAUUCCGUGCCAGCAGCCGCGGUAAUAC